GAUUUNGAUACCNUGGUANUCCACCCCGUAAACGUUGGGAACUAGUUGUGGGGACCAUUCCACGGUUUCCGUGACGCAGCUAACGCAUUAAGUUCCCCGCCUGGGGAGUACGGCCGCAAGGCUAAAACUCAAAGGAAUUGACGGGGACCCGCACAAGCGGCGGAGCAUGCGGAUUAAUUCGAUGCAACGCGAAGAACCUUACCAAGGCUUGACAUAUACGAGAACGGGCCAGAAAUGGUCAACUCUUUGGACACUCGUAAACAGGUGGUGCAUGGUUGUCGUCAGCUCGUGUCGUGAGAUGUUGGGUUAAGUCCCGCAACGAGCGCAACCCUCGUUCUAUGUUGCCAGCACGUAAUGGUGGGAACUCAUGGGAUACUGCCGGGGUCAACUCGGAGGAAGGUGGGGAUGACGUCAAAUCAUCAUGCCCCUUAUGUCUUGGGCUUCACGCAUGCUACAAUGGCCGGUACAAAGGGCUGCAAUACCGUAAGGUGGAGCGAAUCCCAAAAAGCCGGUCCCAGUUCGGAUUGAGGUCUGCAACUCGACCUCAUGAAGUCGGAGUCGCUAGUAAUCGCAGAUCAGCAACGCUGCGGUGAAUACGUUCCCGGGUCUUGUACACACCGCCCGUCAAGUCAUGAAAGUCGGUAACACCUGAAGCCGGUGGCCCAACCCUUGUGGNNGAGGGAGCCGUCGAAGGUGGGAUCGGUAAUUAGGACUAAGUCGUA
rnacentral:rRNA from 1 species